CUGUGGAUAACUUCGGGAAACCGGAGCUAAUACCGGAUAAUAUAUUGAACCGCAUGGUUCAAUAGUGAAAGACGGUUUUGCUGUCACUUAUAGAUGGAUCCGCGCCGCAUUAGCUAGUUGGUAAGGUAACGGCUUACCAAGGCAACGAUGCGUAGCCGACCUGAGAGGGUGAUCGGCCACACUGGAACUGAGACACGGUCCAG
rnacentral:rRNA from 1 species